rfam:Setaria italica strain Yugu1 chromosome V, whole genome shotgun sequence.
CUGUUAGGGGAAUGAUGUACUACCACAGGGCUCUGAAGAUGCUUGCUUUUCUUGAUACUGCCUCCGAGGUAGACAUUACAG